GACGAACGCUGGCGGCGUGCUUAACACAUGCCAGUCGAACGGAAAGGCCCUGCUUUUGUGGGGUGCUCGAGUGGCGAACGGGUGAGUAACACGUGAGUAACCUGCCCUUACUUUGGGAUAACUUCAGGAAACUGGGGCUAAUACCGGAUAGGAGCUCCUGCUGCAUGGUGGGGGUUGGAAAGUUUCGGCGGUUGGGGAUGGACUCGCGGCUUAUCAGCUUGUUGGUGGGGUAGUGGCUUACCAAGGCUUUGACGGGUAGCCGGCCUGAGAGGGUGACCGGCCACAUUGGGACUGAGAUACGGCCCAGACUCCUACGGGAGGCAGCAGUGGGGAAUAUUGCACAAUGGGCGGAAGCCUGAUGCAGCAACGCCGCGUGCGGGAUGACGGCCUUCGGGUUGUAAACCGCUUUCGCCUGUGACGAAGCGUGAGUGACGGUAAUGGGUAAAGAAGCACCGGCUAACUACGUG
rnacentral:rRNA from 1 species